AAGUCUCAGAAGUUUAGGGGGUCCCGAAACUGCUUUAGGACCUUUUCACAACCAUAUGAGGAAUUUAAGAAAAAUAGCCUUUGGUCUUUGCUGUWGACCAAAAGAAUCCCACUAAUUCUAAAGAAUGAGAGGAACUUGAGCAAUCUUUGUAGGGUAAUUGUCACGAGUGCUCAAAAAAGAGCUCUGUUUCUUUUGAAGACAAAAACGAAAAUCGUUUCAAGCAAACCUCAUGACCUCAUGUUAAAGCAAUGAUAAUGUAAUGAUUUGUUUUGGUAGGAAUGCUAGGUGGUUCGAUGCAGUGUCUAAAGCCAGGAUUGGAGCGGUCAUGAUGUGAGGACGCUGUUGUCCUGCUGCAGAUUUUACUUUGUAAAGCACUUCAAACCAGUUGUGGCAUGACGCAGUUGGUCUUCUUGCAUCUCUCAUGGUAAAUGUCCUGUUGGGUUUGUCGCCUAUGAAAAACUACGCUGUUUACACCACCUGCUGUACAGUUUCACAACAAAGGUUAGGUUCUGGUGCAGUUUGGACCAUAGUGAUGCAGCAGCUGUUUAUCUCAAUUCAGCACAUGGCAUCAUGCAUCAUCCAGUAAUAUUCAUUCAGGUUCUCUUCUCUACCUACCACUGUUGUAUUGAUCAGGGUGUUACCUCCUAGGCCUGACUAUCCAAAGCCUGUCUGUCAGCCUCCCGUACCUCGUCCUGUCAUUAAAGACUMUCUGUCCAAACUUGCAGCUGUUUUUAUAUAAACACAUAAAACUUGACUGGUGGAAAAUUGAUGUCAUGUAUUUAUGGGCGUGGGAGAAUUUACCGGUCUAUCAUAAAACUUGUUUACGUUGAUUCACAGAUUUCAUUUUUGGUGGAUGUUAUUGUCAAAAUAAGAAAAGUGCUGAUUUUAUUUUCCUCUUUCUAUCUGAACAUCCAUUUUAACAAGUCCUAAGUCCUGAUGGAAGUGCCCAUCUUCACCACCAGUGGCCUGCUCAUCAACAACCCCAGAAUCCAGCUGCUCAGAUACUCUGUUUUGACAAACAACAUUCUCAAAGCAGGCCAGCCCACUGCGAAGAACCAGAUCAUCUGAGGACACAAAGCGGCUCAGCCAGGAUGGAUGCAUGUCUGACAUAUGUGGCUGCGGAGCCAAACAAAUCCCAGUUAGCAGAACGGCCUGAUCCAGUGCCGGUGCCAGACCUGGACACCGGCCAAGCCACAGGGCAAGAAUCAGCUCUUCAUGAACAAGAACUGAACACCAGCACACUUUASUGGCACAUACUGGACAUGAAUCAACUGCUUAAAGAAAAAAUGACUCAUGUCAAAGGGUGCUGCAGGAUAAGUCCAUGCUAGUUCUGAGGUGCAGCUAGAAUGCAAAGCUGGCGUAAACAAGUCUGUAGCUGACAGUGAACUUUGCACAUGUGUCCUUGGGGUUUAUGGCGCGGGCCUAAUUGUUGAGUGGUCCGUAGUCUUUGGCCAAACAGCGGGUACAAAAAUGCAAAACUGUCUAAUGUGGAAUGGACUAGAAUAGUGGGAGAAUGCUUGUUGUAAAAAUUCCUUCUGUUUUAAAGGCAAAGCAAUGCUAGCAGGGGAUUUGGAGAAKUGAAAAAUAUACUGAUUAUGUUGUAACUCCAGUUUUAUUCAACAGAGAACACAAUUUUAGAAUUAAAUUUACAGAUUUAAUAGAAAUCAGAGAACAAAAUGGAAAAUGUUUUAGGGGCUUUGCCUGUAUAAUGAAAAUAAACAGUAACUUUCAA